UAUACUUGUAGGAUUAACUCGUAAUAGGUGAUCAAUUUCUCCUUUAGCAUUUUCGCCAUUUUGAAAUAAGAAAAUUAAUGAUCUACAUGUAGGCGUGGCAGUCUGGCAGAAUGGCUGAACAAAAAGCUGAAGAGAAGAUUCAAAUUAAGGAUGAAGUAAGUAUAAGAUCAAAUUGUCCACAUACCACAUAGACCUAAGCAUGCAUUUACUGGGACAAGUCUUUCAUAUUACGAUUAUGAUAUAUGUAUACAUACAUUAGUCUCGCUAGCCAGACCAUUCCCCAGACUAGAUAUACAUUACAUAUAUGUGCAUAAUUUGUUUUCCUGACAAAGUGAAACAGUAAUGGUAAGGUACAGCCUACAGAGCCCCAUAGGAAA